UAGUAGUUUAAGGAACGGUUAAGCAACGGUAUAACAACAGCGUUGUAGAUGGCCUAACUCACGUCCUCCUCUCAUCAUCUCCGGCACAACCCCCUUCCAUUGCCGUCGCCAACCUCCGACCGUCGCUGCUCCAGAACCCGUCGUUUUCUCCAAAUCGCCUAUUAGAAUAUAUGAAUUCACUCAAUAACCGCUCGUGCUAGCUGUCUGUCAUCUUCUGUUAAUGACAUUAGUUAGUUAUAGGAGAUUUUAUCUCAUGCUUUAGAUGUACCUACACCAUGCAUCAUAUAUAAGGUGGUUGGCUUUGUAUCAAUUCAUUCGAUCAAUAAGAGAGAUCAGAUUGUUUUCCCUCUCCAAAAUAUCUCCUUCGGUGUUCAUCAUAUCCAUCUCCAUGGAUUCACAUUUAUGAUCUUGUUAUGGCCACUGCUGUCACGCGCCGCCGGUCCGCCGGCUCAGCAGUUCCGAUUUCUCACUCGGCAGCCCCGAUUCCACCCUCGAAGCAGCCCUGUUUCCCUAUUAAAAGGAAGGGAAUUGAGACAAUCACAGGAUUGAAUUGGGUGUAGCUUGAACAACAAACUGCCAAGCUCUCUGUUCACAUAAAUUUUAUGAGUUGGUUGAAAACAAAGUUAGGAGUUCGAGAUGUCAGGCAUGAUUAGGAAAUACCUUAAUUAGGAGAGGCCAGCCUCGCUCUUGAGAGUGAAUUGCAGAGUUGAGAGUUCCUUGAGAUUUGGGUGAGAGUUAAGCUGCGAGAAGCGGUAGAAAAGAAAGAAAGAUUAGGGUUGAAAUAACCGAGUGAUUUUGGUGAUUGAUUAAAAUUUAAGACUGAAUGGUGGGUUUAUUUUUGGAGCAUAUUGGAGAGUAGAGGAACGGUAGGUAGGAGCGUCAAAAAAUUGGAUAUCCAAAUUUCUUGGAGCAAUUUAGUGUAGGAUUUAAUUCAUUUGGGCUCAAAACCCUUUAUAUUUUAUUUAAAUUGUGUACUCCACAGUUUAUAUUUCAAACUUGUAUUAUUUGUUUAAUAUAUCGGAUCCAACACGGAGGUGAGCCCAAUAAAUAUUCGUCAAUGAAAGGAAUUAUUAA